rnacentral:rRNA from 1 species
CCUGAUGGAGGGGGAUAACUACUGGAAACGGUAGCUAAUACCGCAUAACGUCGCAAGACCAAAGAGGGGGACCUUCGGGCCUCUUGCCAUCAGAUGUGCCCAGAUGGGAUUAGCUAGUAGGUGGGGUAACGGCUCACCUAGGCGACAAUCCCUAGCUGGUCUGAGAGGAUGACCAGCCACACUGGAACUGAGACACGGUCCAGACUCCUACGGGAGGCAGCAGUGGGGAAUAUUGCACAAUGGGCGCAAGCCUGAUGCAGCCAUGCCGCGUGUAUGAAGAAGGCCUUCGGGUUGUAAAGUACUUUCAGCGGGGAGGAAGGCGAUAAGGUUAAUAACCUUGUCGAUUGACGUUACCCGCAGAAGAAGCACCGGCUAACUCCGUGCCAGCAGCCGCGGUAAU